UAGGGAAUCUUCCGCAAUGGACGAAAGUCUGACGGAGCAACGCCGCGUGAGUGAAGAAGGAUUUCGGUUCGUAAAACUCUGUUGUUAGGGAAGAAAAAAUGUAUAGUAACUAUAUACAAAAGAGACGGUACCUAACCAGAAAGCCACGGCUAACUACGUGCCAGCAGCCGCGGUAAUACGUAGGUGGCAAGCGUUUCCCGGAAUUAUUGGGCGUAAAGCGCGCGCAGGUGGUUUAGAAAGUCUGAUGUGAAAGCCCACGGCUCAACCGUGGAGGGUCAUUGGAAACUAAUAAACUUGAGUGCAGGGGAGAAAAGUGGAAUUCCUAGUGUAGCGGUGAAAUGCGUAGAGAUUAGGAGGAACACCGGUGGCGAAGGCGGCUUUUUGGCCUGCAACUGACACUGAGGCGCGAAAGCGUGGGGAGCAAACAGG
rnacentral:rRNA from 1 species